AUGCCGCGUGUGUGAAGAAGGCCUGAGGGUUGUAAAGCACUUUCAGUGGGGAGGAGGAUAGCAUGGUUAAGAGCUGAGCUAUUGGACGUUACCUACAGAAGAAGCACCGGCUAACUCCGUGCCAGCAGCCGCGGUAAUACGGAGGGUGCGAGCGUUAAUCGGAAUUACUGGGCGUAAAGGGUGCGUAGGUGGUUAAAUAAGUUAGAUGUAAAAACCCUGGGCUUAACCUAGGACUGAGAUUUAAUACUGUUUAACUAGAGUAUGGGAGAGGGUAGUGGAAUUUCCGGUGUAGCGGUGAAAUGCGUAGAGAUCGGAAGGAACACCAGUGGCGAAGGCGGCUACCUGGCCUAAUACUGACACUGAGGCACGAAAGCGUGGGGAGCAAACAGGAUUAGAUACCCUGGUAGUCCACGCUGUAAACGAUGUCAACUAGCCGUUGG
rnacentral:rRNA from 1 species